rnacentral:lncRNA from 1 species
CGCAGCCCCAUAGUAAUGUUUUUCAAAAAGGGAAGUCACCUUAUUCCCAUUACUACUUUUGCUUUAUCAGGAUUAUUGGGACAAGAAACUCCUUACAAACAAAUUCUUAGCAGCGAUAUUUGUAGUAUUUAUAUGGGGUUGGAGGUGGGGAUUGGUAGGUGCAGUUUCCUAUGCCCUGUUUAUAUGUUGGUUCUCAAAUAGGAGCUUAUUGGAGCCUGAGUGGUUAAUUGAGGGGAGGGAUGGGGGUGAAAUAAAGCAUUUUGGUGUAGGCACAGUUCAAUGUUACCAAACCUGUACCAAAUGCCACACACUCUACUACAUGCUUUUCUGUGUUUGAUCAUUUAUUUUCAUGACAACGCUCUUGAAUUGUGAAUUUUCUUUCUAAUAUUCAGUUGUACAAUUGAGAAAACCCAGAUGUGCCUCCAGAACCCAGAGGCUCUCUGGAGUUGUUUGCUGCUGCUCUAGAGAGCUAGCCUGUUUUUGCAUCCUGGGUCCAAAAAGGUUUGUCAGCAAAGCCAAAAGAUGAGAACUCUAGGUUUCCCUUCCAACAACCUCAUCACCUAGCAUUGCCCUGAAAGCAAGGCCCAAACCAAAUUCUGCCACAUGUAUAGGCAUUGAAUAGAAAGAAGGCACAAAUACACCAUAAGGCCAUGCUCCAAAAGCUACAGAACGGUGCUGUGCUCCACUGUCAGCCACCAAUCACAUGUUGCUACUAAAGUUAAAAGUUAAAUGAAAGAUCUUGUUAUUGAAUCACAUUGCCAUUUUUCAAAUGGCCAGCAAGCAUGGUACUAGUGGCUGCCUUAUUAGGAUAGAUGAAACAUUCCCAUCAUCUCAGAAAGUCCUAUUGGACAGAGCUGCUCUAAAAAGUUCCACACUGUGUGCCCUCUGGUGCAUUUCCAUGGCACUCUGAACAAAUGGAAGUUUCCUUAGAAGCAGAGGCAAAAAUAACUCUAGUGUCAGGAUUUAGCCAACUUUCAGGAUUUGACCCACAAUCAGGAUCAGGUGACAAAAUUUCCUCAAAAGCAGCUAGAAAGAAGACUGGUGGGAGUCAGCCAAGGGCACUAAAACCCUCUUGAAUUUUACUGACAAAUUGACAAAUAGAAAUUGUACAUUUAAGACAUGUCAUGUGAUGAUUUGUUUUUGUAUAAACUGAACACCUCCAUCCUUACAUAGUUUCUAUUUGGACAUGGUUAGAACACCUAACUUCUACAGUCUUACAAAAAUUACAGUGUAGGAUAUUUUACAUGCUUUGAAGACAGAAUAUGUAAUCUUGAGUACACAGGAUAUAAUAAAGGGGAAAGUUAUACAUACAUGAUGUGCCAGAAUACAUUCUGUCAUGUAUAACUAAAACAAAUAAAAGAAUAUAAUAAAGCAGAAAAGUUAUGGAACAUGAUCAGAAUAUACAAGAACACUGGAACAUUAAAAGACCAAACCUAAGAAUCAUUUGGGAUAGAAACAAACGUGAAGAUGCAAGCUAAAAGCAUAAAGAACAUUUUAAAUGACAUAGUUAUAGAAAACUUUUUGUAUACCAGAAAUGAGGUAGAAAUCCACAUAUAGGAAUCUACAGGACUCCAAAUAGAACUAUUUAAAUAAGAAGAUUUCCAAGACAUAUCAUAAAAUGCCUAACAGAAAGUAAAGAAUUUUUAAAACUGCAGGAUAGAAACCUAAGGUCACAUUUAGAGGCAAACCAAAAAUCUCAUUUCUGAUUUCUCAAUUCAGACCGUAAAAUCAACGAGGACCUUAAAUAUGAUAUUUCAAGCUCUAAAAGAAAGCAACUGCCAGUCAAUUUUACUUUACCCAGCAAAGUUCAGAUUCAAAUUGAAGGGGGAAAUAAAAACUUUUCAUGACAAGAAUAAACUAAAAGGGCUCAUGAGCACCAAACCAGCACUACAAAGAACAGUCAAAGGUAAACUGCACACAGAGGAACAAUUUCCAAAGCUCCCCAAAAGGAAGUUUGAUAGAAGAAUAAUUUACUAAAUGAGAAGACAGGAUUAAAUAAAAUAAAAACUCAAAAUGGCAGGAAACGACAAAGAUACCCACAAGCUAAAGGUAAAAGGAUAGGGGGAAAAUUCCAUGGAUAAGGAUCCCGAAAACAAGUAGUAGCAGCUAUUCUAAUAUCUGACAAAGUAGAUUUCAAGCAAAAUUAAUCAGAAGAGCCAGGCACAGUGGGGCAUACCUGUAAUCCCAGCCACUUGGGAGGCUGAGGCAGGAGGAUCGUGAGUUCAAAGCCAGCCUCAGCAACUUAGCAAGACAAAAUAUAAAACAAAAUAUAAAAUAUGAAAAGGACAGGGGAUGUGGCUCAGUGGUUUAGUGCCUCCUGAGUUCAAUAAUUCCUGGUACCAAAAAAGAA